AUUGAACGCUGGCGGCAGGCUUAACACAUGCAAGUCGAGCGGAGCGAGGGUGCUUGCACCUUAGCUUAGCGGCGGACGGGUGAGUAAUGCUUAGGAAUCUGCCUAUUAGUGGGGGACAACAUUCCGAAAGGAAUGCUAAUACCGCAUACGCCCUGCGGGGGAAAGCAGGGGAUCUUCGGACCUUGCGCUAAUAGAUGAGCCUAAGUCGGAUUAGCUAGUUGGUGGGGUAAAGGCCUACCAAGGCGACGAUCUGUAGCGGGUCUGAGAGGAUGAGCCGCCACACUGGGACUGAGACACGGCCCAGACUCCUACGGGAGGCAGCAGUGGGGAAUAUUGGACAAUGGGCGGAAGCCUGAUCCAGCCUUGCCGCGUGUGUGAAGAAGGCCUUUUGGUUGUAAAGCACUUUAAGCGAGGAGGAGGCUACUUAGAUUAAUACUCUGGGAUAGUGGACGUUACUCGCAGAAUAAGCACCGGCUAACUCUGUGCCAGCCGCCGCAGUAAUAC
rnacentral:rRNA from 1 species